UGCAGCAACGCCGCGUGAGGGAUGACGGCCUUCGGGUUGUAAACCUCUUUUAGUAGGGAAGAAGGGCUUCGGCUUGACGGUACCUGCAGAAAAAGCACCGGCUAACUACGUGCCAGCAGCCGCGGUAAUACGUAGGGUGCGAGCGUUGUCCGGAAUUAUUGGGCGUAAAGAGCUCGUAGGCGGUUUGUCACGUCUGCUGUGAAAUCCCGAGGCUCAACCUCGGGCCUGCAGUGGGUACGGGCAGACUGGAGUGCGGUAGGGGAGAAUGGAAUUCCUGGUGUAGCGGUGGAAUGCGCAGAUAUCAGGAGGAACACCGAUGGCGAAGGCAGUUCUCUGGGCCGUAACUGACGCUGAGGAGCGAAAGCGUGGGGAGCGAACAGGAUUAGAUACCCUGGUAGUCCACGCCGUAAACGUUGGGCGCUAGAUGUGGGGACCUUUCCACGGUUUCCGUGUCGUAGCUAACGCAUUAAGCGCCCCGCCUGGGGAGUACGGCCGCAAGGCUAAAACUCAAAGGAAUUGACGGGGGCCCGCACAAGCGGCGGAGCAUGCGGAUUAAUUCGAUGCAACGCGAAGAACCUUACCAAGGCUUGACAUAACCGAGAACGCCGCAGAAAUGUGGAACUCUUUGGA
rnacentral:rRNA from 1 species